UACGGGGGGGGCAAGCGUUGUUCGGAAUUACUGGGCGUAAAGGGCUCGUAGGCGGCCAACUAAGUCCGACGUGAAAUCCCCAGGCUUAACCUGGGAACUGCGUCGGAUACUGGAUGGCUUGAAUCCGGGAGAGGGAUGCGGGAUUCCAGGUGUAGCGGUGAAAUGCGUAGAUAUCUGGAGGAACACCGGUGGCGAAGGCGGCAUCCUGGACAAUUGCUGACGCUCAGGCACGAAAGCGUGGGGAGCAAAAGGG
rnacentral:rRNA from 1 species